rnacentral:rRNA from 1 species
GAUGAACGCUGGCGGCGUGCCUAAUACAUGCAAGUCGAGCGAACGGACGAGAAGCUUGCUUCUCUGAUGUUAGCGGCGGACGGGUGAGUAACACGUGGAUAACCUACCUAUAAGACUGGGAUAACUUCGGGAAACCGGAGCUAAUACCGGAUAAUAUUUUGAACCGCAUGGUUCAAAAGUGAAAGACGGUCUUGCUGUCACUUAUAGAUGGAUCCGCGCUGCAUUAGCUAGUUGGUAAGGUAACGGCUUACCAAGGCAACGAUGCAUAGCCGACCUGAGAGGGUGGUCGGCCACACUGGAACUGAGACACGGUCCAGACUCCUACGGGAGGCAGCAGUAGGGAAUCUUCCGCAAUGGGCGAAAGCCUGACGGAGCAACGCCGAGUGAGUGAUGACGGUCUUCGGAUCGUAAAACUCUGUUAUUAGGGAAGAACAUAUGUAUAAGUAACUGUGCACAUCUUGACGGUACCUAAUCAGAAAGCCACGGCUAACUACGUG